rnacentral:rRNA from 1 species
GACGAACGCUGGCGGCGUGCUUAACACAUGCAAGUCGAACGGAAAGGCCCUGCUUUUGUGGGGUGCUCGAGUGGCGAACGGGUGAGUAACACGUGAGUAACCUGCCCUUGACUUUGGGGUAACUUCAGGAAACUGGGGCUCAUACCGGAUAGGAGCUCCUGCUGCUUGGUGGGGGUUGGAAAGUUUCGGCGGUUGGGGAUGGACUCGCGGCUUAUCAGCUUGUUGGGGGGGUAGUGGCUUACCAAGGCUUUGACGGGUAGCCGGCCUGAGAGGGUGACCGGCCACAUUGGGACUGAGAUACGGCCCAGACUCCUACGGGAGGCAACAGUGGGGAAUAUUGCACAAUGGGCGGAAGCCUGAUGCAGCAACGCCGCGUGCGGGAUGACGGCCUGCGGGUUGUAAACCGCUUUCGCCUGUGACGAAGCGUGAGUGACGGUAAUGGGUAAAGAAGCACCGGCUAACUACGUG